UACUCUUCGGGCAGUCAAGGAUUAGCCCAAAUGGUUUGGGCUGGAAGUGUGGUGAAAUUCCACCGCGGUGCCGCCGCUGUAACCGAUGACGAACUCUGCAUGUCCGGGAUCCACUGAACGGAACUCAGGCAGCCACUGCAACCUCGGUUGCGGGAAGGCGCAGGGCGAGAUUGACUCGGAAGCCAGAAGACCUCCUUGACGUCAUACUUCGA
rnacentral:ncRNA from 1 species